ACUGAACGCUGGCGGCAGGCCUAACACAUGCAAGUCGAGCGGAUGAAGGGAGCUUGCUCCUGGAUUCAGUGGCGGACGGGUGAGUAAUGCCUAGGAAUCUGCCUGGUAGUGGGGGAUAACGUCCGGAAACGGGCGCUAAUACCGCAUACGUCCUGAGGGAGAAAGUGGGGGAUCUUCGGACCUCACGCUAUCAGAUGAGCCUAGGUCGGAUUAGCUAGUUGGUGGGGUAAAGGCCUACCAAGGCGACGAUCCGUAACUGGUCUGAGAGGAUGAUCAGUCACACUGGAACUGAGACACGGUCCAGACUCCUACGGGAGGCAGCAGUGGGGAAUAUUGGACAAUGGGCGAAAGCCUGAUCCAGCCACGCCGCGUGUGUGAAGAAGGUCUUCGGAUUGUAAAGCACUUUAAGUUGGGAGGAAGGGCAGUAAGUUAAUACCUUGCUGUUUUGACGUUACCAACAGAAUAAGCACCGGCUAACUUCGUG
rnacentral:rRNA from 1 species